rnacentral:rRNA from 2 species
UGCAGUCGAGCGGAGAAGGGAGCUUGCUCCCGGAUGUUAGCGGCGGACGGGGAGUAACACGUGGGUAACCUGCCUGUAAGACUGGGAUAACUCCGGGAAACCGGAGCUAAUACCGGAUAGUUCCUUGAACCGCAUGGUUCAAGGAUGAAAGACGGUUUCGGCUGUCACUUACAGAUGGACCCGCGGCGCAUUAGCUAGUUGGUGAGGUAACGGCUCACCAAGGCGACGAUGCGUAGCCGACCUGAGAGGGUGAUCGGCCACACUGGGACUGAGACACGGCCCAAACUCCUACGGGAGGCAGCAGUAGGG